CAUGUCUGGAAUGGAGGGCAGGAAGAAGCUGUUUGAUGCUGGACAAUAGAAGAUACAUUUGAAAAACUUUAUGGUGACAACUACACCAGAAUUAAUAAACUUCUUAAAAUGAAUGUACAAUUCAAUGCAAGUUCAUAUAACACAUAUAUCCUAUUGUAAUAAUAGCUUAGGAUUAUGGUUUAAUAUUAUAUUUUAGUUAAAAGGAAACUGCAUAUAAGUUAUUUAGACAAGAAAACAGUGUCUGAAACUUACUUGAUGUCUACUUGAUCUACUUGUUUCUGUGAUGCUGAGCCCAUUUUCUGUCUUAAAAAUAAAAACACAUCAAAGAAAGCCUAAAUAUUUUGCCCCUUACUUAAAAAAAAAAUGCAAAGUGCCUGCAACAAGGACUGACACUUAGGACUUCAGAUCAGAAGACCUCUGGAAAUGUUUGGAUACAACAGCCCUAAAUGUAGCAGAACCUGAAGGCUCUGAACUUGCCAUGCACUUUUAUCUAUUUGACCUCACUUCAUAACAGACAUAACACAACUGCUGUCUCCCAGGAAUACCUUCAGUUGUUCUAACAUCAAUCAACUAUAUUUGUAAAUGUGUGGAACUUAAAAAAAUACAUGCACUUUUAAAGCUUUUCAAACUAAAUCACUCAUUUAAUUUUGUUAUUAAAACAUCCCAAAAACUCUUUAGUUGACCAAC